UCCUUGGAGAGCACACUUGUUAUUAUGCCUGCCCCAGCUUUGCCUUCCACCAUGAGUAAAAGCUUCCCAAGUCCUCCCCAGAAGCAGAUGCUGGCGCUAUGCUUCUGGUACAGCCUGAAAAACCUUGAGCCAAUUAAACCUCAGUGAGCUCAAGAUGUCUUUGUUGAAACAGAACCUCCCGAAGUUACAGUAUUGGUUUUGGGGCUCCACACAGAGAACACAUCACGGAAGCUAUAAUUGAGGAAGACAAAGCUGUCAGGACGACACCAAGAGAGUUAGAAAGCCCAAGAGUGGAGCAUUCUUCACCAUGAUUCCACCUGACACUUGGCUGAAAGCAUUUUGCACUAAUUUGCUUUGUGCCCGUUCAGACAAUCUAAAAAGAAAGGAUGGGGGGACAACAAGUGUCUAUUACACAGAAUAAACAGCCUCUGGCAAAUGAAUACAUUUU
rnacentral:lncRNA from 10 species